rnacentral:lncRNA from 1 species
UGUGAUUACAGGUGUGCGACACCGCGCCCGGCCCGCAGUGAUCUUAAUGUGCUGAUGGAUCACUUGUGACUCUCCACUGAGGAGCCACACCCCCUAUGUAGGUCCGAUGUAGGACCCACAGACCAUAUCAACAUUCAGGGCUGGGGGUUGGGGACUCAAAUAUGUUCUCCUCACUAGGCAAACCUUGAAAUUGCUGAAUUGUGCAGUGGGACAGAGUUGUCAGUUGUCUAUCUAUCUGGGACUGAGGACCUUCAGAAAAUAAAGCUUAUUUUAAGGGGAGACUCAGACUCAAUGAGCUUGACUCCGUAAGGAACCUUUACUUCAAGGAGGGAAGAAGAAUUGUUUUCGUAUUUUUUUGGUGGAGACGGGGUUUCGCUGUGUUGGCCUGGCCGGUCUCCAGCUCCUAACUGCGAGUGAUCCGCCAGCCUCGGCCUCCCGAGGUGCCGGGAUUGCAGACGGAGUCUCGUUCACUCAGUGCUCAAUGGCGCCCAGGCUGGAGUGCAGUGGCGUGAUCUCGGCUCGCUACAACCUCCACCUCCCAGCCGCCUGCCUUGGCCUCCCAAAGUGCCGAGAUUGCAGCCUCUGCCCGGCCGCCACCCCGUCUGGGAAGUGAGGAGCGUCUCUGCCUGGCCGCCCAUCGUCUGGAAUGUGAGGAGCCCCUCUGCCUGGCUGCCCAGUCAGGGAAGUGACGAGCGUCUCUGCCUGGCCGCCAUCCCAUCUAGGAAGCGAGGAGCGCCUCUUCCCGGCCGCCAUCCCAUCUAGGAAGUGAGGAGCGUCUCUGCCCGGCCGCCCAUCGUCUGAGAUGUGGGGAGCACCUCUGCCCCGCCACCCUGUCUGGGAUGUGAGGAGCGCCUCUGCCUGGCUGCCCAGUCUGGAAAGUGAGGAGCGUCUCUGCCCGGCCGCCAUCCCAUCUAGGAAGUGAGGAGCGUCUCUGCCCGGCCACCAUCCCAUCUAGGAAGUGAGGAGAGCCUCUUCCCGGCCGCCAUCCCAUCUAGGAAGUGAGGAGCGUCUCUGCCUGGCCGCCCAUCGUCUGAGAUGUGGGGAGCGCCUCUGCCCUGCUGCCCCGUCCGGGAUGUGAGGAGCGUCUCUGCCUGGCAGCCGCCUGGUCUGAGAAGUGAGGAGCCCCUCCACCCAGCAGCCACCCCGUCUGGGAAGUGAGGAGCGUCUCUGCCCGGCAGCCACCUCGUCUGGGAGGGAGGCGGGGGGGUCAGCCCCCCACCCGGCCAGCCGCCCCGUCCGGGAGGGAGGUGGGGGGAUCAGCCCCCCGCCCGGCCAGCCGCCCCGUCCGGGAGGAACCCUACAAGGUAGAUUCUAUUAGCAUAUGUAUUUUAUAGAUGAGGAAGCAGGCACAGAGACAUCAAGUGUCAUGCUUCAUUUUACAAAGCUGGAACAUGCUGGAGUCAGAACCCAACCAGGCAGUCUUGCUUCAGACUCUCCGCAUCUAUGACUCUGUAACCGUCAGUAGCUACUGCCUCCAUCUGCUUUCAUCACUGCAGAGGCAGACAACACCACCCUGCAAGAUAGUCGACUUUCAGACUUGAAGCCACAUCCAUUCUGCUAAAAUGCACAGAAAGAAAACCAGAAGAGAGACAGCAGCAAGAGCUGCAGGCGAGGCUGGGCAUGGAUUCCAGGGGAAGGAGAUGACAGUGGGAGGAAUGGCCAUCAUUCCAAAAGGGCUGGAUUGCACAGCAGGGCAGCAUCGCAAGAGUAGGAAGGGCUGUUCAACAAUGUGGCCUCCCCUGCAAGAGUCACACCUGUUAUUCAGCCUCUGCUUCAGCGUUCCAGAGAGGAGGCUCCCUGCUGCGGCAAAUCCCAAUGCUGGACAGCUCUGAGCAGAUGAUGGUUCUUCUUGGUGUUGGUUCUGAACCCUGCCCCUCUAUGUCCACCAGCCUUUCAUUCUAGAAGACACAACCGUCAACUCUGGGAAGACUCGGCAGGGGGCAUAUUUCUGAAAGUUCUAUUUCCACAGAUGGUGUGAAAUCAGCAAAGGAAAAUGCUGCUUCUGUCCAGACAGCUCUUCCACUCUUUAUUCUCACUCUAUGAGUCACUGGGUUGACUGUUGAUUUCGUUGCUGAACUGGGAUUCCUUAACUUGCGCAUUCAUUUAUUCAAUAAAUAUUUGUUUCAUGUUUACAAAAUAGUAAGUACUACACUCAACACUGGGCCUUCAGUGUGACAAGAGGCAUAGUCUCUGUCCUCAGGGACCUUGUGGCUUAAUGGGAUAUUAUAAAAAUAGUCACACAGUGAUUAUCACCGUGAUGAAAGUGCUGUGGGAGAAAAUACAGGGAGCUAUGUGAUUGUAGCAGACCAGCCUGGCCUGGGUGAUGAGGAAUGUCUCUUCUUGGGAAGUGACACAGAAGCUGGAGGACAGGAGCACGAGAGAUCAGUCCAAGUGGGCAGUGACGCUACAUCAUCAGAGCAAGGAGCACCCGCAAGUCCAGGAGGCAGGAGGGCCUCUGACCAGGUUGAGAAACAAAGAGGACACCAGCCUGGCUGUGGGUUUAGUGAGCAGCGCAGAUUGCAGAGGGCGAGGAGGUUGCAAUCACAGCAUCAGAGCAUGACCCGAAGAACAAAGGAGAGACAUUUAAAGAUUUAAAGCAGGCCAGUGACAUUACCAUGUUUUUAUUUUUAAAAGAUUACUCUGCUGGGUGUGGUGGCUCACACCUUUAAUUCUGGCACUUUGGGAGGCCAAGGCGAAAGGAUCACUUGAGCUAAGAGUUCAAGACCAGCCUGGGCAACAUGGAGAAAGCCCGUCUCUACCAAACAAAAUACAAAAAAAACGGUUAGCCAGGUAUGGUGAUCCACACCUGUAAUCCCAGCUAUUGGGGGAGGCUGAGGCAAGAAAACCACCUGAACCCGGGGGUGGAGGUUGCAGUGAGCCAAGAUCGUGCCACUUCACUCCAGCCUGGGCAACAGAGUGAGAUGCUGUCUUAAAAAAAAUAAAAAUAAAAUAAAUUACUCCGUCUGCUCUAUAGACAGUAGGUCAGGGGAAAGGAAGAGUGAAUGGGGAGAAACCAGGUAGGAAGUACCUUUAAACUCCAAAAGACAGACCGUGGCAAUUUGGACUAGAGUGGGAAAGUUGGGCAGCAGAUUUGGAAAGAAACUGACACAUUUUAAGUCUAUUUUAGGCAGAAUUAGAAGACUCUGUGAUUAUAUGGAAGGGAGUAUGAGAGGUGAUUCUUUGCAAGACAUAUUUAUGGAAAUGGAGAGCCAUAGCACUGGAGAAAGGUAGUGACUUCAGUGUGCCAUCCAGUACGUAAACGACUCACAGACAUCCAAAUGGAGACGUCAGGACUCUAAAUGGGGAAAAUGCUGAAGGCCAACGUCUGGAGCACAGUCACGCAUCACUUAAUGACAAGAAUAUAUUCUGAGAGAUGUAUCAUUAAGUGAUUCUGUUACUGUGUGAGCAUCAUAGAGUGUACUUGCCCAAGCCAAGAUGGUAUAAGCUGAUGCACACCUAGGCUGUGUGGUACAGCCUAUUGCUCCUAAGCUACACAUCUUUGCAGCACAUUACUGUACGGAAUACUGCAGGCAAUUGUAGCACAAUGGUAUUUGUGUAUCUAAACAUAGGUAAGGUACAGUAAAAAUAUGGUAUUACAAUCUUAUAGAACCAUCAUCAUAUACGGGGUCCAUCACUGACCAAAACGUUAUGUGACGCACAACUGUCAUUCUAAAUAGAAUCUUCUGGGCAUCCAUUAUCUAAUUCCUCAAAAGCAAACUGUCUUCUAUCAAGACUCUCAUAGCAAGUCUAGUUCUUUGCUCUUUUGUAACCAGGGAAAUGUGAUCAUCAAAACACAAACCAACAUUUUGUGAAGAAAGGAUCUUGAAU